rnacentral:rRNA from 1 species
UUAGAGUUUGAUCCUGGCUCAAGACGAACUUUGGCGGCGCGCCUAACACAUGCAAGUCGAACGAGCGAGAGAGAGCUUGCUUUCUCGAGCGAGUGGCGAACGGGUGAGUAACGCGUGAGGAACCUGCCUCAAAGAGGGGGACAACAGUUGGAAACGACUGCUAAUACCGCAUAACCCCACGACCCGGCAUCGGGUAGAGGGAAAAGGAGCAAUCCGCUUUGAGAUGGCCUCGCGUCCGAUUAGCUAGUUGGUGAGGUAAUGGCCCACCAAGGCGACGAUCGGUAGCCGGACUGAGAGGUUGAACGGCCACAUUGGGACUGACACACCGCCCACACUCCUACGGGAGGCAGCAGUGGGGAAUAUUGCACAAUGGGGGAAACCCUGAUGCAGCGACGCCGCGUGGAGGAAGAAGGUCUUCGGAUUGUAAACUCCUGUUGUUGAGGAAGAUAAUGACGGUACUCAACAAGGAAGUGACGGCUAACUACGUGCCAGCAGCCGCGGUAAAACGUACGUCACAAGCGUUGUCCGGAAUUACUGGGUGUAAAGGGAGCGCAGGCGGGAAGACAAGUUGGAAGUGAAAUCCCUGGGCUCAACCCAUGAACUGCUUUCAAAACUGUUUUUCUUGAGUAGUGCAGAGGGUAGGGGGGAAUUCCCGGGUGUAGCGGGGGGAAUGCCUAAAUAUCGGGAGGAACCCCAGUGGCGAAGCCGGCCUACUGGGCACCAACUGACGCUGAGGCUCGAAAGUGUGGGUAGCAAACAGGAUUAGAUACCCUGGUAGUCCACACUGUAAACGAUGAUUACUAGGUGUUGGAGGAUUGACCCCUUCAGUGCCGCAGUUAACACAAUAAGUAAUCCACCUGGGGAGUACGACCGCAAGGUUGAAACUCAAAGGAAUUGACGGGGGCCCGCACAAGCAGUGGAGUAUGUGGUUUAAUUCGACGCAACGCGAAGAACCUUACCAAGUCUUGACAUCCCUUGACGAUGCUGGAAACAGUAUUUCUCUUCGGAGCAAGGAGACAGGUGGUGCAUGGUUGUCGUCAGCUCGUGUCGUGAGAUGUUGGGUUAAAUCCCGCAACGAGCGCAACCCUUGUGGUCAGUUACUACGCAAGAGGACUCUGGCCAGACUGCCGUUGACAAAACGGAGGAAGGUGGGGAUGACGUCAAAUCAUCAUGCCCUUUAUGACUUGGGCUACACACGUACUACAAUGGCGUUAAACAAAGAGAAGCAAGACCGCGAGGUGGAGCAAAACUCAGAAACAACGUCCCAGUUCGGACUGCAGGCUGCAACUCGCCUGCACGAAGUCGGAAUUGCUAGUAAUCGCAGAUCAGCAUGCUGCGGUGAAUACGUUCCCGGGCCUUGCACA